rnacentral:tRNA from 1 species
GGAGAGGUGGCAGAGUGGUCGAAUUACCUGACUCGAAAUCAGCGUACCGGCAACGUACGUGGGUUCAUCCCACCUCUCCGCCA